AUUGACCGCUGGCGGCAGGCCUAACACAUGCAAGUCGACCGAGUGGCGGACGGGUGAGUCAUGUCUGGGAAACUGCCUGAUGGAGGGGGAUACCUUCUGGACACGGUAGCUAAUACCGCAUACCAUCAGAUGUGCCCAGAUGGGAUUAGCUCGUUGGUGGGGUAACGUAUCACCAAGGCGACGAUCCCUAGCUGGUCUGAGAGGAUGACCAGCCAGACUGUAAAUGAGACACGUGCCAGACUCCGACGUGAGGCAGCGGUGGGGAAUAUGGCACAAUGGGCGCAAGCCUGAUGCAGCCAUGCCGCGUGUAUGAAGAAGGCCUUCGGGUUUGAAAUAACUUUCAGCGAUGAGGCGUUACUCGCAGAAGAAGCACCGGCUAACUCCGUGCCAGCAGCCGCGGUAAUUC
rnacentral:rRNA from 1 species